AGAACCUUGGAUUGGCUUCCUUCCUAUCUCAUUCGUUAAGCCCCUUCAUGCAUUUAUUCUUUCCAGGGGAUCCAGGUCAGCCAAUAAGACACGGCUCCAGCCCUCUUUACAACUCUCAAAGUGGUCCCUCACUAUCAUGGCUGAAGAGUCAGGACCCAGGAAGCGAACGUAGAAAGAGAGAGAAUGAAGGUCUGUGGCGAGGCAUCUGCCACUACUUCCCUUUGUUUGGAAACAUGCUGCCAGUCCUAACUCGGUGAUGACAGUGCUGUAUCUCCGAUGACUGUUUGGAGACAAGGAGGCAACACUGAAGAUGAGAGCCAUGCAUUGCUGCUCGCUUUUGUAUUUGCAGUCACAAGCGAAUAAAAU
rnacentral:lncRNA from 1 species